GAUGAACGCUGGCGGCGUGCCUAAUACAUGCAAGUCGAGCGAACGGACGAGAAGCUUGCUUCUCUGAUGUUAGCGGCGGACGGGUGAGUAACACGUGGAUAACCUACCUAUAAGACUGGGAUAACUUCGGGAAACCGGAGCUAAUACCGGAUAAUAUUUUGAACCGCAUGGUUCAAAAGUGAAAGACGGUCUUGCUGUCACUUAUAGAUGGAUCCGCGCUGCAUUAGCUAGUUGGUAAGGUAACGGCUUACCAAGGCAACGAUGCAUAGCCGACCUGAGAGAGUGAUAGGACACACUGGAACUGAGACACGGUCCAGACUACUAAGGGAGGCAGCAGUAGGGAAUGUUACGCAAUGGGCGAAAGCAUGACGGAGCAACGCCGCGUGAGUGAUGAAGGUCUUCGGAUCGUAAAACUCUGUUAUUAGGGAAGAACAUAUGUGUAAGUAACUGUGCACAUCUUGACGGUACCUAAUCAGAAAGCCACGGCUAACUACGUG
rnacentral:rRNA from 1 species